UUGAAUGACCGCUAGGGUUCCGGGUGCCGACAGGCACUGACUGGUCCGAGAGCGGUCGGCCACGAUCGUGUGGCUCCACGGAGGGACAAAAGCCCGGGAGAA
rnacentral:sRNA from 2 species